AAAAAAAUGUAGCCAUUUUUUUGUGUUGUUUUCAUUUUUUUGCUGUUUUAUUCAAUGGACACUUGAAAUGUAAUUGGCCCCUAAGCUGCUCCUAGUGCUGAGCCUCGCCUGUUUAGAGUCACCAGCCUUGUCCAGGGCUUACUCCCCAGCCACACACCAGGCCUGUGAGGAGCAUCACAGACCUGAAACAGCAGCACAGGUUGAACCUUUAUACCCAUUCUGCUGUCGCAAGGUGACAUGCUCUCGACUUUGUUUCCGGGUCUGUGCUGAGGGGAGCUAAUUCUGCACAAGACUCACCCAUAGCCAAGACUUUACUGGCAAAUAUUGAGCCGGCUGCUACGUAAUAAAAGGGGUCUAAAACUCCGCUUUCCUCUAUUAGGAGGAUUGUAGUCUCUAUUAGACUUGUUUUAGUUGACAAAAUGUGUCUUACAUUAACAACUCCUCCGACUGAGGAUUUAAAGAAAUAAAAACACAAAAGAACAAAACCUUUGGUUUCUCUGAUGGACAUCGUUAUGGUGUAGAGUUUGACAUGUACGCUCUUUGCGGAGCUCUGUUGAGGUUGUUGGACUUGGCACUAAAUCAGAAAGUCACCACUUUUGGUGCUCAGACAUUUAAAAAAAAAAAUGCCAAAACCACCUCAGAACACCUCAGUGUCCUCUCUCUUUAUCUCUUUCUCUCUCUCUGUGGGGGACAGUUUACAUUUAUUCUGCCCCGUUUUAAGUUAUUACCUUUAUCUGAUCUUUGUUUCUGCUUUCUUCUUCUUAUGUUGGUUUUAUGAAACUGCACUGCUGACACGACAAAGGUCUCAGUGUUUUGCGACAAAUGAAUUUCUCUUCUUGUUCAGACCUCGAUCAGUUCUUUGCAGUGUUUUAACCUGCUCACACAGUACACAAUGUUGUGUUUUACUAUGAUGGGACAAACUGAGUGUUUAUCACAAAAAUGUGUGUCAUUUUGUCCCACGUGGUAAAAUGCUCAGAUGCGAGAUGAUUCCAGGACGGGUUAAAAAAACAAACAACUAAAAGAACUGGUUUUACUGAGGCCAGGUCUGUCCUCACUCAUGUGAGUCUACUGUGUGUGUGUGCAUGGGUGUAUGUAUGUGUGUGAUCGCUGUGUUCUUACUAAAGCUGAGCUUUAGAAAGGCACCUAGUCCAUGACUAGUCUGCACAGAUGUCAGUGGGCUGUUUGCCACUUUGAUACUCAGUAAAUAUCACACUUCUGAAGGCUGUUUGUCAUUUAAAAAAAAAAGACAAGCUCUCCAGUGUAAGACGCAAAAACAAAAGAUGUUCAGUCCAGUGCAGAAUAGUCCUGGAUCAGUUGAUUGAGAGGUCUGACAAAACAUUUCUGGCCAUGCUGCAACUUUCAUUAGCAUAUCCUCAUCACAAAAUUGUAUUUUUACUUCUGUGUUUAAGGUUUCAGUGGUGGUUAGGGGAGAGCUUGGCCAGAAGUGCACCAGCCCGGUGAAGUGGAAGUUGCAGUGUCCUUUGUAAAACCCCACUCCACUCUGGUGUCAGUCUCUCAGGGGGUUGAUCUGAGCAAACGGGUCCACGAAGUCAAGUUAGCCCAACCAAACAAGCAGUCCCAAGUGCAGUAGGGAGCCCUCCUGUUGUUCUGAACCUGUGGCCAUCCUUUGUAAAACAUGCACUCUGAUGAUGAUUCUAGCUGUGUAAGUUGAUGAUGCAAUACUUAAAAUAAAAACACCAAGAUUUUCAAACCUGAA
ensembl:lncRNA